AACGAACGCUGGCGGCGCGCCUAAUACAUGCAAGUCGAGCGAGAAGACGUAGCAAUACGUUUGUAAAGCGGCGAACGGGUGAGGAAUACAUGGGUAACCUACCCUCGAGUGGGGAAGUAACUAGCCGAAGGUUAAGCUAAUACCGCGUACGCUCCUUGGACUUCGGUUCAGGGAGGGAAAGACGAUACCGUGGGUAUCGCGCUCUUGGAUGGGCGUCAUGUCCUAUCAGCUUGUUGGUGAGGUAACGGCUCACCAAGGCUUCGACGGGUAGCUGGUCUGAGAGGACGAUCAGCCACACUGGCACUGCGACACGGGCCAGACUCCUACGGGAGGCAGCAGUAAGGAAUAUUGCGCAAUGGGCGAAAGCCUGACGCAGCGACGCCGCGUGGGGGAGUGAAGGUAC
rnacentral:rRNA from 1 species